CACACACGCUCGACACAUGCACUUGGAACAGACAGAAGGAACAGUGAUGCCCCCCAGCAAUCGGAAGACCAACUGGUACAGCAAGCGCACUGCCCUGCUGCGGAGGUGUUCCUUCACCGCCAUUAGGCCUCCUCCUUCAGCAUUCCAAUGUAUGCUGAAGAGCAGGUGAGACAUCCAGACUCUGGACUGAACAACUGCUGCUUUCUCAGACUUUCUGCUGUCGUUGAGCUAGCUGGACCGCAAACUGUAAAGCACUGGAGAUAUGUAUAUAUAUAUAUGUGUGUGUGUGUGUGUGUGUGUGUGUGUGUGUGUGUGUAAAAAAUUCUAUUAGUUCUGUUCCUCUAGAGAACUCUGACUAAUAAUAGAGCUCUCAGGAGACUCAUCUAAAGUCCUAUAGCUGGUCAUUAGAUAUUCUCUUCUGGAUUAAUAUCCGCUAGAA
ensembl:sense_intronic Gm28792 predicted gene 28792